rnacentral:rRNA from 1 species
AACCUGGUUGAUCCUGCCAGUAGUCAUAUGCUUGUCUCAAAGAUUAAGCCAUGCAUGUGUAAGCACACGCUGUUUUAAAAGUGAAGCCGCGAAUGGCUCAUUACAACAGCCACAGUUUAUUAGAACUUACAAUCAUGGAUAACUGUGGUAAUUCUAGAGCUAAUACACGCACAAAAACUUCAACUGAAUUGGUUGAAGUGCUUUUAUUAGAACAAAAACCGAACGGCGUUUGACGAAUGUUGAACGUCGAAACUGUUUGGUGAAUCUGAAUAACUAUUUCUGAUCGCAUGGUCUAGCACCGGCGACAUCACUUUCAAGUGUCUGCCUUAUCAACCUUCGAUGGUAGUCUAUGCGACUACCAUGGUGAUAACGGGUAACGGAGAAUCAGGGUUCGACUCCGGAGAGGGAGCCUGAGAAACGGCUACCACAUCCAAGGAAGGCAGCAGGCGCGCAAAUUACCCACUCCCAGCUUGGGGAGGUAGUGACGAAAAAUAACGAGACGAUUCUCGUUUGAGAAACGUUAUCGAAAUGAGUACGCUUUACACACGCUAACGAGUAGCAAUUGGAGGGCAAGUCUGGUGCCAGCAGCCGCGGUAAUUCCAGCUCCAAUAGCGUAUAUUAAAGUUGCUGCGGUUAAAACGCUCGUAGUUGAAUUGUGGUCUUAGACAACAGUCCCCCUACAAAGGUGUGGCACGGUUGCUCGAGAUCUUCAUUCGUGGUUGCUGUUGUUGCUCUUCAUUGAGUGUCAAUGGUGCCUCGAGAUUUUACUUUGAAAAAAUUAGAGUGCUCAAAGCAGGUUGUGAUGCCCGAAUAAUGGUGCAUGGAAUAAUAGAAUACGAUCUCGGUUCUAUUUUGUUGGUUUUCGAACCGGAGAUAAUGAUUGAAAGGAACAGACGGGGGCAUUCGUAUUGCUGCGUUAGAGGUGAAAUUCUUGGAUCGCAGCAAGAUGAACAAUUGCGAAAGCAUUUGCCAAGAAUGUUUUCAUUAAUCAAGAACGAAAGUUAGAGGUUCGAAGGCGAUCAGAUACCGCCCUAGUUCUAACGGUAAACUAUGCCAACCAGCGAUUCGCCGAAGUUCAUUUAAGACUCGGCGAGCAGCUUCCGGGAAACCAAAGUGUUUCGGUUCCGGGGGAAGUAUGGUUGCAAAGCUGAAACUUAAAGGAAUUGACGGAAGGGCACCACCAGGAGUGGAGCCUGCGGCUUAAUUUGACUCAACACGGGAAAACUCACCCGGCCCGGACACUGGAAGGAUUGACAGAUUGACAGCUCUUUCUUGAUUCAGUGGGUAGUGGUGCAUGGCCGUUCUUAGUUGGUGGAGCGAUUUGUCUGGUUAAUUCCGAUAACGAACGAGACUCUACCCUAUUAAAUAGUGACAGUAUUGUAUUUUUUGUGCUGAUCACUUCUUAGAGGGACUGGCAAAUUGAAAGCUGCACGAAAAAGAGCAAUAACAGGUCUGUGAUGCCCUUCGAUGUCCGGGGCUGCACGCGCGCUACAAUGAAAGCGUCAACGUGAGUUACGUCCUUACCUGAAAAGGUUUGGCAAUCGAAUGGAACGUUUUCUUGAAUGGAAUAGGGAAUUGCAAUUGUUUCCCUUGAACGAGGAAUUCCCAGUAAGCGUGAGUCAUUAGCUCGCGUUGAUUACGUCCCUGCCCUUUGUACACACCGCCCGUCGCUACUACCGAUUGGAUGAUUUAGUGAGGUGUUUUGACUGGCGCCAGUAGUCGGAUAUGUAUUCGGCUUCGCGCCGGGAAAUUUCCCAAACCAAAUCAUCUAGAGGAAGUAAAAGUCGUAACAAGGUUUCCGUAGGUGAACCUGCGGAAGGAUCAUUA